UACGGAGGGGGCUAGCGUUGUUCGGAAUUACUGGGCGUAAAGCGCACGUAGGCGGCUUUGCAAGUUAGAGGUGAAAGCCCAGGGCUCAACCCUGGAAUUGCCUUUAAGACUGCAUCGCUUGAAUCAUGGAGAGGUGAGUGGAAUUCCGAGUGUAGAGGUGAAAUUCGUAGAUAUUCGGAAGAACACCAGUGGCGAAGGCGACUCACUGGACAUGUAUUGACGCUGAGGUGCGAAAGCGUGGGGAGCGAACAGG
rnacentral:rRNA from 1 species